AAAGUUUGUUCAUGAGCUGUCAUGCUCGCUAGGCGAGCAGAAUGGGUCGCCUAGCGAGUCCCAAGAAAAGCCACCAGAAUCACCUACGCUCAGAGGAAUUUCUUGAAAUGUCAUGCUCUCUAGGCGAAGCCCACGUGUUUUGAAAAAAAAAUGAAAAAUAAACAAAUAAAUAAAUAAAUAAAUAAAUAAAUAAAAGAAAAAUCUUGGACUUGGACCUCUCUCUUUU
rnacentral:lncRNA from 1 species